rnacentral:lncRNA from 1 species
UAAAAAAUCGAACACUUUUAUUAAAAAUGUUUCAAUAAAAUUAUACAUAGUGGGAGGUGUCAGACCAAAAAAAAAUCUCCAUAACUAUCUUAUUCCAAGAGUUCAAACCCUAGCCCAUUUGGGGUUGCUCUUCAUUAGAAAAAAAUAUUGUGUAUCAUAAUAUAAGUCGUUUUAUAAUAUCAAUGGAUCAUUAAUAUUAUGUUUUCUAUUAUAUUCUUAAAUAUUUAUUAUUCUCUCUUUUCAAUUAUGUCAAUUUAUCUUUUCAAUAUCAUUAAUGUUUUGAAAAAAAUUUCAUUAUUUUUCUUUUUUAUACCAUAAUUAUUAUAUUUUUAAUAAGUGUAAAAAGUUAAAAACAACUUAUAAUAAAAAUGGAAGAAAUAAUUUUUUUUAGAUUUUGUCUUAUUAGCUUUCCAAUUAAAUCAGACAUCCCUCAUUUUUUACAUAAAAAAUGAACAAAAUUAUCCCUCUUUCUCUCGCACAAAAAAUUUGAUACAUUUUUAAUGGAACAUUUAAAAAACCAAGUAAAAAUGUGUUAAUUUCUUGAUAUUCAAAAAAAAUCUAGUAGUUCAUAUAUAAAAACGAAGUUAACACGAUACGUUCGUAAUUUUUUAAAUUUUUUAAAAAUUCGAUAAUUCAUAUUCGAUGGAUCGGUAAAAAAACAAAAUUAACACUAUUUGAUUUUUCGAUAGUUUUUUUUGCCUUUUUCAAAUAUUUGAGAAAAAAUGAUAUAAAAUCAUAAUUUAUGUUUCAAAAAUCUAUGAUUUUAUAUUAAAUAUUUAAAAAAUGUGAUAUUCAAAAUUUCGUAAUCAUUCGAAAUGUGAUAUUUAAAUUUCAAAUAUUUGAGAAAAAAUGAUAUAAAAUCAUAAUUUAUGUUUCAAAAAUCUAUGAUUUUAUAUUAAAUAUUUAAAAAAUGUGAUAUUCAAAAUUUCGUAAUCAUUCGAAAUGUGAUAUUUAACUGAGAAUUUCAUAAAAAUCUGAUAUUCAAAAUUUUGAAAAACCAAAAAGAUAUUAAAAAAUCGAACACUUUUAUUAAAAAUAUUUCAAUAAAAUUAUACAUAGUGGGAGGUGUCAAACCAAAAAAAAUCUCCAUAACUAUCUUAUUCCAAGAGUUCAAACCCUAGCCCAUUUGGGGUUGCUCUUCAUUAGAAAAUUUUCAAGCAUUCUCCACAGAAAGCUAUAUUUUCUAAGUGUUUGUCUAUCUACAAAAUGAUUUUGAUUUCUCACCUUAAAGAUAAUUUAUUAAACAAGGAAGUAACUUAUGCCUGAAUCAACCACCUUAAAAUACAUAAUACAAAUGUUACAACUUAAGAUUACGUUCGUUGGUGUUGUAUAUCUGAGAUGAACUCAUUAUUGUCUGCAUAACAUAAACUAGCUCAACUUCUCAUAAUACAUUUUCCUCUAGUUUUGAAUGUUAUGUAAGAGAAUCUCUUUGUAUGAUCGAUCGAUCACAGUGAAAUUUUUCUCCUACAAUAGUCUGUUGAGGCC